rnacentral:rRNA from 1 species
GACGAACCGUGCGAACGUUAUUCGGAAUCACUGGGCUUAAAGCGCGUGUAGGCGGGCCGCCACGUCGGCUGCUGAAAUCCCCCGGCUCAACCGGGGAACGGGCACCGAUACGAGCGGCCUCGAGGGGGGUAGGGGGGUCUGGAACUUCCGGUGGAGCGGUGAAAUGCGUUGAGAUCGGAAGGAACGCCCGUGGCGAAAGCGAGACCCUGGACCCUUUCUGACGCUGAGACGCGAAAGCCAGGGGAGCGAACGGG